AUAAGGGUCUCGUUGGUGACCAGCGGAGGGUCAUUACCGAGUUUACAACUCCCAAACCCAAUGUGAACGUUACCAAACUGUUGCCUCGGCGGGAUCUCUGCCCCGGGUGCGUCGCAGCCCCGGACCAAGGCGCCCGCCGGAGGACCAACCAAAACUCUUAUUGUAUACCCCCUCGCGGGUUUUUUUUAUAAUCUGAGCCUUCUCGGCGCCUCUCGUAGGCGUUUCGAAAAUGAAUCAAAACUUUCAACAACGGAUCUCUUGGUUCUGGCAUCGAUGAAGAACGCAGCGAAAUGCGAUAAGUAAUGUGAAUUGCAGAAUUCAGUGAAUCAUCGAAUCUUUGAACGCACAUUGCGCCCGCCAGUAUUCUGGCGGGCAUGCCUGUCCGAGCGUCAUUUCAACCCUCGAACCCCUCCGGGGGGUCGGCGUUGGGGAUCGGCCCUGCCUUGGCGGUGGCCGUCUCCGAAAUACAGUGGCGGUCUCGCCGCAGCCUCUCCUGCGCAGUAGUUUGCACACUCGCAUCGGGAGCGCGGCGCGUCCACAGCCGUUAAACACCCAACUUCUGAAAUGUUGACCUCGGAUCAGGUAGGAAUACCCGCUGAACUUAAGCAUAUCAAUAAGCGGAGGA
rnacentral:rRNA from 1 species